CCUACGGGAGGCAGCAGUGAGGAAUAUUGGUCAAUGGACGAGAGUCUGAACCAGCCAAGUAGCGUGAAGGAUGACUGCCCUAUGGGUUGUAAACUUCUUUUAUAAAGGAAUAAAACGAGGCACGUGUGCCUUUUUGCAUGUACUUUAUGAAUAAGGAUCGGCUAACUCCGUGCCAGCAGCCGCGGUAAUACGGAGGAUCCGAGCGUUAUCCGGAUUUAUUGGGUUUAAAGGGAGCGUAGAUGGGUUGUUAAGUCAGUUGUGAAAGUUUGCGGCUCAACCGGAAAAUUGCAAUUGAUACUGGCAGUCUUGAGUACAGUUGAGGUAGGCAGAAUUCGUGGUGUAGCGGUGAAAUGCUUAGAUAUCACGAAGAACCCCGAUUGCGAAGGCAGCUUACUAAACUGUGACUGACAUUGAUGCUCGAAAGUGUGGGUAGCAAACAGGAUUAGAUACCCCUGUAGUC
rnacentral:rRNA from 1 species